rnacentral:misc_RNA from 1 species
GCAGGAGCAGGCAGCCUGCCAGAGGCUGGGUCCAAAAGGGGCUUAAUGCUUACACUUUCAGCGAACAACAGUUACAUUUUACGCAGAGAGAUGGAUAGUGUUUAACAGAAGCAAUUUUUUAUUCGUUCCCUGCUCCUCUCUCGUCCUUAUCCACCCACCCUUUCAACAUCUUCCUCUGAUUUACAUUUUCGAUCUCAAACUAACCACCAAUCAAUUAAAUAAAUAAAAUUUCAUGACAGCUUCGUCGUAGUCGUCGUCAUCAGGUCACCUCCGUCUCAUGCCCGAUCUCCAACCAUUUUUGGCCCAGAUGAGACUCCUUAGGAAGGUGGUGUUUAAAGCAUAAGGUUGACAUUUGGUGAGAUUUACCCAUAAAAGCCACCUCGCG